UUUAACUGAAGAGUUUGAUCAUGGCUCAGAUUGAACGCUGGCGGCAGGCUUAACACAUGCAAGUCGAGCGGAGAGAGGUAGCUUGCUACUGAUCUUAGCGGCGGACGGGUGAGUAAUGCUUAGGAAUCUGCCUAUUAGUGGGGGACAACAUUUCGAAAGGAAUGCUAAUACCGCAUACGUCCUACGGGAGAAAGCAGGGGAUCUUCGGACCUUGCGCUAAUAGAUGAGCCUAAGUCGGAUUAGCUAGUUGGUGGGGUAAAGGCCUACCAAGGCGACGAUCUGUAGCGGGUCUGAGAGGAUGAUCCGCCACACUGGGACUGAGACACGGCCCAGACUCCUACGGGAGGCAGCAGUGGGGAAUAUUGGACAAUGGGCGCAAGCCUGAUCCAGCCAUGCCGCGUGUGUGAAGAAGGCCUUAUGGUUGUAAAGCACUUUAAGCGAGGAGGAGGCUACUUUAGUUAAUACCUAGAGAUAGUGGACGUUACUCGCAGAAUAAGCACCGGCUAACUCUGUGCCAGCAGCCGCGGUAAUACAGAGGGUGCAAGCGUUAAUCGGAUUUACUGGGCGUAAAGCGCGCGUAGGCGGCUAAUUAAGUCAAAUGUGAAAUCCCCGAGCUUAACUUGGGAAUUGCAUUCGAUACUGGUUAGCUAGAGUGUGGGAGAGGAUGGUAGAAUUCCAGGUGUAGCGGUGAAAUGCGUAGAGAUCUGGAGGAAUACCGAUGGCGAAGGCAGCCAUCUGGCCUAACACUGACGCUGAGGUGCGAAAGCAUGGGGAGCAAACAGGAUUAGAUAC
rnacentral:rRNA from 1 species